rnacentral:rRNA from 1 species
GACGAACGCUGGCGGCGUGCCUAAUACAUGCAAGUAGAACGCUGAAGGAGGAGCUUGCUUCUCUGGAUGAGUUGCGAACGGGUGAGUAACGCGUAGGUAACCUGCCUGGUAGCGGGGGAUAACUAUUGGAAACGAUAGCUAAUACCGCAUAAUAGUAGAUGUUGCAUGACAUUUGCUUAAAAGGUGCAAUUGCAUCACUACCAGAUGGACCUGCGUUGUAUUAGCUAGUUGGUGGGGUAACGGCUCACCAAGGCGACGAUACAUAGCCGACCUGAGAGGGUGAUCGGCCACACUGGGACUGAGACACGGCCCAGACUCCUACGGGAGGCAGCAGUAGGGAAUCUUCGGCAAUGGACGGAAGUCUGACCGAGCAACGCCGCGUGAGGGAAGAAGGUUUUCGGAUCGUAAAGCUCUGUUGUAAGAGAAGAACGAGUGUGAGAGUGGAAAGUUCACACUGUGACGGUAUCUUACCAGAAAGGGACGGCUAACUACGUG